rnacentral:rRNA from 1 species
CACUCCUGCGGGAGGCAGCAGUGGGGAAUAUUGGACAAUGGGCGCAAGCCUGAUCCAGCCAUGCCGCGUGAGUGAUGAAGGCCCUAGGGUUGUAAAGCUCUUUCACCGGUGAAGAUAAUGACGGUAACCGGAGAAGAAGCCCCGGCUAACUUCGUGCCAGCAGCCGCGGUAAUACGAAGGGGGCUAGCGUUGUUCGGAUUUACUGGGCGUAAAGCGCACGUAGGCGGACUAUUAAGUCAGGGGUGAAAUCCCGGGGCUCAACCCCGGAACUGCCUUUGAUACUGGUAGUCUUGAGUUCGAGAGAGGUGAGUGGAAGUCCGAGUGUAGAGGUGAAAUUCGUAGAUAUUCGGAGGAACACCAGUGGCGAAGGCGGCUCACUGGCUCGAUACUGACGCUGAGGUGCGAAAGCGUGGGGAGCAAACAGGAUUAGAAACCCUUGUAGUCCC